UACGUAGGGGGCGAGCGUUGUCCGGAAUCAUUGGGCGUAAAGCGCGUGUAGGCGGCUCGGUAAGUCUGCUGUGAAAGUCCAGGGCUCAACCCUGGGAUGCCGGUGGAUACUGUCGAGCUCGAGUCCGGAAGAGGCGAGUGGAAUUCCUGGUGUAGCGGUGAAAUGCGCAGAUAUCAGGAGGAACACCAAUUGCGAAGGCAGCUCGCUGGGACGUUACUGACGCUGAGACGCGAAAGCGUGGGGAGCAAACAGG
rnacentral:rRNA from 1 species